rnacentral:misc_RNA from 1 species
GAUGAAGAACGUAGCGAAAUGCGAUAGUAAUGUGAAUUGCAGAAUUCAGUGAAUCAUCGAAUCUUUGAACGCACAUUGCGCCCCUUGGUAUUCCGAGGGGCAUGCCUGUUCGAGCGUCAUAUUAACCACUCCCGCUUGCGGGGUCUUGGGCUUCGCCUCCGGGCGGGCCUUAAAAUCAGUGGCGGUGCCGUCGGGCUCUACGCGUAGUAAAUUUUCUCGCGAUAGGGUCCCGGUGGAUGCUUGCCAACAACCCCCAACUUCUUAAGGUUGACCUCGGAUCAGGUAGGGAUACCCGCUGAACUUAAGCAUAUCAAUAAGCGGAGGA